rnacentral:rRNA from 1 species
CAGCCGCCGCGGUAAUACAGAGGGUGUAAGCGUUAAUCGGAUUUACUGGGCGUAAAGGGCGCGUAGGUGGUUAUUUAAGUGAGAUGUGAAAUCCCCGGGCUUAACCUGGGAACUGCAUCUUAUACUGGGUAACUGGAGUGCAAUAGAGGGUAGUGGAAUUUCCGGUGUAGCGGUGAAAUGCGUAGAUAUCGGAAGGAACACCAGUGGCGAAGGCGGCUACCUGGAUUGACACUGACACUGAGGCGCGAGAGCGUGGGGAGCAAACAGGAUUAGAUACCCGCGUAGUCCCUGUCUCUUAUAC